rnacentral:rRNA from 1 species
UACGUAGGGGGCUAGCGUUGUCCGGAAUCAUUGGGCGUAAAGCGCGUGUAGGCGGCCCGGUAAGUCCGCUGUGAAAGUCGGGGGCUCAACCCUCGGAUGCCGGUGGAUACUGUCGGGCUUGAGUGCGGAAGAGGCGAGUGGAAUUCCUGGUGUAGCGGUGAAAUGCGCAGAUAUCAGGAGGAACACCAAUGGCGAAGGCAGCUCGCUGGGACGUGACUGACGCUGAGACGCGAAAGCGUGGGGAGCAAACAGG